rnacentral:misc_RNA from 1 species
GAAUUGACUCGAUUCGAUUUGAUUUUUCAAUUUAAACCGAAUUUUGCUCGGCCGUACAUACCAGAGCAGAAAAUUAAGGCAGGAAAUGAAAAUAGAGCGGCUAAACUAAUAAGUGGGCUUUCCCUCUCUUUUCUAUCUAUACAGAGGAGGAAGCAAUUACAUUUCUCCGAUCAGAUUCAGAUUAGUGAAAACACAGGCAAGCCAAAAGACCCAUAUGCAGAAAAUAGGUCCAGAAAAAAACAAGAAACCCAAAAAAA